GGCGCUAUAGUAUAGUGGUUAGUACGCUGGCCUCUCACGCCGGUAACCCGGGUUCGAACCCCGGUAGCGUCACCA
rnacentral:tRNA from 1 species